rnacentral:lncRNA from 1 species
UUACUUUAAUUUUACAUUUAUUAAUAUUUCAAGCCCUAGUUAUUUAUCUCAUCUUAAUUCUAUUGAUUUAUUCAAUUUGUUCAAAAUUUAGGGCUUAAAUUCUUUAAAGUGUUAUCUUUAGUUUAAUCUACCCUAGAUCUGUGAAAUCUUUGAAGUUGAGGUGAUAUUUUAAUUUUAUUAUUUACUUUUUUAUUUUAGUUUAAGUAGAUUUGUGAAAUAUUUCUCUUUUUUGGUUUAUUAAUUUACUUUAUCCAGAUCUAGUUUUUCAAAUAACUGUUCAACCCUAGAUCUGUGAAAUCUUUGAUGGUUUGAGUUUUUCAUUAUCAUCUUUUGUUGAAAUAUAUUUAUUAUUAUUAUUCUUGGUGACCAAAAAUUGUUACAAUAAUAUUUUACUAAUAUUUGUUCCACGUUCAGAUGGAUCUGUACUUGGAACUCUUAACAAUUUGUUGACUUUUCGGUUUUUUUUUAGCUUGCAGUCCUUCUAGUUGAUCGAACUCUUCUCAACAUAGAACAGAUCUUGCCUGAAAAAGAUGUGUUUUUAAGUGUACUUGGAUUGACCAAUGACUGAUCUUGCAACAAGUGAAGAUACAAUUGAAAUUCAACCACUUGUGGUGUCUGGUAUGGCUAAUGCCAGAUAAGAUUCUUUGACAUGUAAAGAUAGAUGUCAUAUUGUUGUCAAAAAUCAAAAUAGAUUGAUGAUGUUGUAAUGUAUCUGCUUACCUCAUGUUUUUUUUUGUUUAUUGAGAACGAUGUGUAGUUAUGUUUGUAGACAAACUUGGAAGUUGCAAAGUAAUUUUUUUGGUCAUCAAUGCAUCUGAACUUUGGAAGUUUGCAAAGUACUUACUUUUAUUGAAUGUGUGAUUAAAGUUGUAGUUUUGAUGGUAAUGGAGUAAUUAAUAUUUAAAUUUUCUCAUGAAUAAAUCCGGUUCUUAAACUCUGGACUAAGGUGCCAAAUAUUACAUGAAUUGUGUAAAGAUUAAUAAGGAACAAAACGCGGCCGACUGCCAAAAAUUUAGAUUGAGAAAUAGGGCAGCCGCCUAGAUGAGAGAAUCUCUAUGAUGUGGACUUGAGCUAUACACAUACAAUGCCAUAGGAGCAAGGAUCGAUGUCUGGUUGCUUAGAUAAGAAUAAAAUAAGCAAGGGUGUUUUCACAUCUAUGUGAACAAGUGUGUGGAUAAAAAGGUUUGUUGACGGAGCAGUGAUAUAUGUAGAAUCAUUU